rnacentral:rRNA from 1 species
GACGAACGCUGGCGGCGUGCCUAAUACAUGCAAGUCGAACGCACAGUUUAUACCGUAGCUUGCUACACCAUAGACUGUGAGUUGCGAACGGGUGAGUAACGCGUAGGUAACCUGCCUGGUAGCGGGGGAUAACUAUUGGAAACGAUAGCUAAUACCGCAUAAUAUUAAUUAUUGCAUGAUAAUUAAUUGAAAGGUGCAAUUGCACCACUACCAGAUGGACCUGCGUUGUAUUAGCUAGUAGGUGAGGUAACGGCUCACCUAGGCGACGAUACAUAGCCGACCUGAGAGGGUGAUCGGCCACACUGGGACUGAGACACGGCCCAGACUCCUACGGGAGGCAGCAGUAGGGAAUCCUCGGCAAUGGACGAAAGUCUGACCGAGCAACGCCGCGUGAGUGAAGAAGGUUUUCGGAUCGUAAAGCUCUGUUGUAAGAGAAGAACGGGUGUGAGAGUGGAAAGUUCACACUGUGACGGUAGCUUACCAGAAAGGGACGGCUAACUACGUG